AUUGAACGCUGGCGGCAUGCCUUACACAUGCAAGUCGAACGGUAACGGGCCUUCGGGUGCCGACGAGUGGCGAACGGGUGAGUAAUACAUCGGAACGUGCCCGAUCGUGGGGGAUAACGAGGCGAAAGCUUUGCUAAUACCGCAUACGAUCUACGGAUGAAAGCAGGGGACCGCAAGGCCUUGCGCGGACGGAGCGGCCGAUGGCAGAUUAGGUAGUUGGUGGGAUAAAAGCUUACCAAGCCGACGAUCUGUAGCUGGUCUGAGAGGAUGAUCAGCCACACUGGGACUGAGACACGGCCCAGACUCCUACGGGAGGCGGCAGUGGGGAAUUUUGGACAAUGGGCGCAAGCCUGAUCCAGCCAUGCCGCGUGCAGGAUGAAGGCCUUCGGGUUGUAAACUGCUUUUGUACGGAACGAAAAGCCUUCAUUUAAUACAGGAGGGUCAUGACGGUACCGUAAGAAUAAGCACCGGCUAACUACGUG
rnacentral:rRNA from 1 species